rnacentral:rRNA from 1 species
CCUACGGGCGGCAGCAGUGAGGAAUAUUGGUCAAUGGCCGGAAGGCUGAACCAGCCAAGUCGCGUGCGGGAAUAAGGCCCUAUGGGUUGUAAACCGCUUUUGUCAGGGAGCAAAGGCGUCCACGUGUGGACGAGAGAAGAGUACCUGAAGAUAAAGCAUCGGCGAACUCCGUGCCAGCAGCAGCGGUAAUCCGGGGGAUGCGAGGGUUAUCCGGAUUUAUUGGGUUUAAGGGGUGCGUAGGCGGAGUGUCAAGUCAGCGGUAAAAUUUCGGGGCUGAAUCCCGUCGUGCCGUUGAUACUGACGCCCUAGAGAGAGUGAGAAGUAGGCGGAAUGCGUGGUGUAGCGGUGAAAUGCAUAGAGAUCACGCAGAACGCCGAUUGCGAAGGCAGCUUACCGGCGUUCAACUGACGCUGAGGCACGAAAGUGCGGGUAUGGAACAGGAUUAGAUACCCCUGUAGUC